UCAGUGUCUGCUGUCUCCACAG
rnacentral:miRNA from 1 species